AUUGAACGCUGGCGGCAUGCCUUACACAUGCAAGUCGAACGGUAACAGGUCUUCGGAUGCUGACGAGUGGCGAACGGGUGAGUAAUACAUCGGAACGUGCCCGAUUGUGGGGGAUAACGAAGCGAAAGCUUUGCUAAUACCGCAUACGAUCUACGGAUGAAAGCAGGGGACCGCAAGGCCUUGCGCGAACGGAGCGGCCGAUGGCAGAUUAGGUAGUUGGUGGGAUAAAAGCUUACCAAGCCGACGAUCUGUAGCUGGUCUGAGAGGACGACCAGCCACACUGGGACUGAGACACGGCCCAGACUCCUACGGGAGGCAGCAGUGGGGAAUUUUGGACAAUGGGCGAAAGCCUGAUCCAGCCAUGCCGCGUGUAGGAUGAAGGCCUUCGGGUUGUAAACUGCUUUUGUACGGAACGAAAAGACUCUGGUUAAUACCUGGGGUCCAUGACGGUACCGUAAGAAUAAGCACCGGCUAACUACGUGCCAGCCGCCGCCGUAAAAC
rnacentral:rRNA from 1 species